UACGUAGGGGGCUAGCGUUGUCCGGAUUUAUUGGGCGUAAAGAGCGUGUAGGCGGCCAGGUAGGUCUGCUGUGAAAACUCGAGGCUCAACCUCGAGACGUCGGUGGAAACUGCCUCGCUAGAGUCCGGAAGAGGAGAGUGGAAUUCCUGGUGUAGCGGUGAAAUGCGCAGAUAUCAGGAAGAACACCAAUGGCGAAGGCAGCUCUCUGGGACGGUACUGACGCUGAGACGCGAAAGCGUGGGGAGCGAACAGG
rnacentral:rRNA from 1 species